AUGACUCCCAUCUUCAUAGUCUUCUGGAUAUUUAUAUCCUCCUUUACAGAGUCAUAUGGACAGGUCACUGUGACUCAGACUCCUGCAGUGAAAGCUGUUCAACAGGGAGGAUCAGUCACUCUGAACUGUAGAACCAGCAGUGAUGUAUAUGGUGCAGGGAAUUCAUUUCGCAAAUUAGCAUGGUACCAACAGAAACCUGGAGCAGCUCCAAAACUCCUCAUCUCUUCUGUCAGCACACUCCAGUCUUGGACUCCAUCCAGAUUCAGUGGCAGUGGAGAUUACAGUGACUUCACUCUGACCAUCAAUAAAGGCAGGCAGCUUCCUAUUGGCUCUCUGGAGACAGUGGGGAUACAGAGGCUACUAGUUAGAGCCCCACUCUCUGGAUUUGGGGAACAUGGGAAAAUAGAGUAG